rnacentral:rRNA from 1 species
AGUGAACGCUGGCGGUAGGCCUAACACACGCAAGUCGAACGGCAGCACAGUAAGAGCUUGCUCUUACGGGUGGCGAGUGGCGGACGGGUGAGGAAUACAUCGGAAUCUACUUUUUCGUGGGGGAUAACGUAGGGAAACUUACGCUAAUACCGCAUACGACCUACGGGUGAAAGCAGGGGAUCUUCGGACUUUGCGCGAUUGAAUGAGCCGAUGUCGGAUUAGCUAGUUGGCGGGGUAAAGGCCCACCAAGGCGACGAUCCGUAGCUGGUCUGAGAGGAUGAUCAGCCACACUGGAACUGAGACACGGUCCAGACUCCUACGGGAGGCAGCAGUGGGGAAUAUUGGACAAUGGGCGCAAGCCUGAUCCAGCCAUACCGCGUGGGUGAAGAAGGCCUUCGGGUUGUAAAGCCCUUUUGUUGGGAAAGAAAAGCAGCAGGUUAAUACCCCGCUGUUCUGACGGUACCCAAAGAAUAAGCACCGGCUAACUUCGUG